CAAGCGAAGCGGGCGUAUUCCAAAUCUGUUUAAAAAACCAGCAAAAGCCGCUGGACUGAACGCAAUACUGAUCAAUACUUCAACUGUUGGCGUGACAUCUCCCCCAAGUGAAGCGCCAAUAGGGGUACCGACGGACUGCGUACCUUUGUUUACUCCUAAUGGUCUUAGCCCGGAUUCCCCCCCCAGAACCCGG
rnacentral:sRNA from 1 species